rnacentral:rRNA from 1 species
UACGUAGGGACCGAGCGUUGUCCGGAAUCAUUGGGCGUAAAGAGCGUGUAGGCGGCUAUUUAAGUCCUGCGUGAAAUCCUGCGGCUCAACCGCAGACGGUCGUGGGAAACUGGAUGGCUAGAGUGCGGGAGAGGAGAGUGGAAUUCCCGGUGUAGCGGUGAAAUGCGCAGAUAUCGGGAAGAACACCUGUGGCGAAGGCGGCUCUCUGGAACGCAACUGACGCUGAGACGCGAAAGCGUGGGGAGCAAACAGG